ensembl:lncRNA
CCUGAGGGAAUCUGGCGGAACGUUCUGGAUUUUAUUUGCGUAACCUCGAGCCGUUGCCAACGGAAACUAUUUUUCAGUUGAUUUCCAUUGGGAAUUGUUCCCUUAUCUUAAACAACUUUAAGUUUGAUAUUAAAUGCAUACUCACACGUACGUCGUACAAUAUGUUAAUUUCCGAUAGUUGCGCCGUACUUUUAACCACGAUGACUUGACGGGACUCUCACUGCGUACAAAACAGCGUUCUACUUGCGGGCCCAAUUUUGACAUCAGGGAAGGCUGAAAAUCAUUUCAAGGUGGAAGAUAAUUUGACAUUUCUUCAACGGAACCCAGCACCUGAAUAUGGCUGAGUAUAUUUGAUUUAAUAUCGAUACUGCUUAGUGUUCUUUGUUACUUCAGCUUUUGUACGUUAUAAAUAUCUGCUGUCAUUAAUUGCCACAGUAGUUAAACCCUACCCAAUGGAAUGACGUUAAACAACGACUUCGGUGCAGAGUUACCAACUGGAUAAUAUCAAAGCUAAAAUAAUGGCCGUGAUCCCACACGUUACAGUAGAAGUUACUCUAAAACUGUAAAAGGUUAAAAAGGUAACAUGUAGUUUGUCCCAAGGUGUCUGCCUCCUCACCCAGAGCAAGACCUCCACCUCCUCACCCAGAGCCAGACCUCAAACUCCUGUCAGAAGUCCUCCAGAACAGGUGAGGCUGAGAGGCUGGGGACCGGAGGCUUGUGGUGCCAGGAUGGACCGGAGACUGAGGCUGGAGACCAGGAGCCUGCAGCACCGGACCAGAGGGAGCUGAUGGAGAUGCCGUGCUGAAGGAGCUGAUGGAGGAGCCGUGCUGAAGGCCCUGCCUGGUGGAGGAGCUGGUGGAGGCCCUGCCUGUUGAAGUACCAUAUAUGCCAGACGACUACAUCUGUUUUACCACAUGUUGAAGCAAGACUUCCGCUGUUUGUUCCAGAACAGGACUCUGUCUGAGGAGAGCUGCUGGAGGAGCUGAGACGCUGGAGGACGACUAGGAAUCAAUCAAGGAUUCCUCAACGUGUUUCUGGAGCGGAGGCGAGCUGGUAGGGGAGCCGUGAAUCUGGAGGAUGACCAUCACUCUACAAACAAGGAUUGUAAAUUUAUUAACCUAACAACAAAGUGGAAAUUAAGGGGCUUAAAAAUAAGACAAACUACAUGUUUGUUACCAGACUUUAGGUCCAGACUCGCGCUGUUUGUUCCAGACCAGGACUCUGGCUGAGGAGAGCUGAUGGAGGAGCCAAGACUCUGGAGGACGACAUCACUCCACCAACUAGGAUCCUCACCAGGAAUCUGGAAGACUGAUGGAGAAGCCGUACAUCUGGAAGGCAAAUCCUGAGGACCACCAGGACUCUACCAUCAAGGUUUCCUCGCAGACACACCUGAGCUGAACCUCACCUGAUCCUGUUUGGAUGGGGGUAGACGCACCUGAGCUAAACCCGCCCUGAUCCUGACAUCCUGCUGGUCCCGUCUCCUCAGUUCUCCUGAGCCUCGUCCUCCAGAAGACCUGCUGAGCUCAGCAGUCUGAGGCUGAUGGAUCAAUGACCUCCAGUGGGAGUGAUCUUCUUGACCCCACAUGUAACCGUGUGCUUCCACACGCCUGUCACUAACUUCACUACUCUCUACUGCUUCCUCUUUUCUUCCUUCUCUGUGGUUCGAACCUUUACACGGAAGGCGCGUCUUCCUGCCCUCAGAGGGUUUAGCGUUAGGGUUGAGAGUCAG